rnacentral:rRNA from 1 species
AGGAUGAACGCUGGCGGCGUGCCUAACACAUGCAAGUCGAACGUCCUGUCUCGCAAGAGGCAGGGAGUGGCGGACGGGUGAGUACCACGUGGGUCAUCUACCGUGAGGUGAGGAAUACCGGCGAGAAAUCGCCGACAAGACCGCAUAGGCUCGAUGCAAGUCGAGCAAAGCUCUUUCGAGAGAGGGAGCGCCACACGAGGAGCCUGCGCCCGAUUAGCUAGCUGGUGGAGUAAUGGUUCACCAGGGCGACGAUCGGUAGCUGGUCUGAGAGGACGAUCAGCCACACUGGGAUUGAGAACGGCCCAGACUCCUACGGGGGCAGCAGUGAGGAAUUUCGUCAAUGGGGCAACCCUGAACGAGCAACGCCGCGUGCAGGAAGAAGGUUUUCGGAUCGUAAACUGUCUUUCUCUGGGAAGAGGAACGGACGGUACCGAGGAAUCAGCCCGGCUAACUACGCGCCAGCAGCCGCGGU